GGCGGCAUGCUUUACACAUGCAAGUCGAACGGCAGCAUGGGCUUCGGCCUGAUGGCGAGUGGCGAACGGGUGAGUAAUGCAUCGGAACGUGUCCCGUAGAGGGGGAUAACCAUCCGAAAGGAUGGCUAAUACCGCAUAUGCUCUAUGGAGGAAAGCAGGGGACCUUCGGGCCUUGUGCUAUGGGAGCGGCCGAUGUCGGAUUAGCUAGUUGGUAGGGUAAAGGCCUACCAAGGCGACGAUCCGUAGCUGGUCUGAGAGGAUGAUCAGCCACACUGGGACUGAGACACGGCCCAGACUCCUACGGGAGGCAGCAGUGGGGAAUUUUGGACAAUGGGGGCAACCCUGAUCCAGCCAUGCCGCGUGAGUGAAGAAGGCCUUCGGGUUGUAAAGCUCUUUUGUACGGGAAGAAGAAGUUAGGGUUAAUACCCCUUGACUGAUGACGGUACCGUAAGAAUAAGCACCGGCUAACUACGUGCCAGCAGC
rnacentral:rRNA from 1 species